rnacentral:lncRNA from 13 species
AAAAACUGUUGUAAAAAAGUAUAAUAUAAUAAACACCUAUCUUAUCCCACUACCACUGACUUUGCUGAUAAAUACUUUGUUGAGGGAAAAUGUACUUGAUACGAUUGUGAUGGGUUGUUGUCUCACCUAGCUAUCUUAAAAUGAAUACACUAAUUGUAAGUCACUCUGGAUUAGAGCGUCUGCUAAAUGACUAAAAUGUCAUAUAAAAUAUAUUUUUUAAAGUUUAUCAUACUAAUUUGAGUAUCCUGAUUUAAGAUUACUAUGUUACGUCUAGUCUAUGAGACCAGGCUGAAUCGAAGCAGCAAAAUAGGUGGCAGAAUCCUGCAGUUAAACUGGAUUUAACAACAGUGUCAGGCUCUGCCCUCGAAUGAAGAGGAAGAUAAUCGAUUUAUUUUGAUCUUCUUGGUUUGGACAGGAAUAGCCUAAUAUCAUGCCAGUGAAAGCCAACAUUUUUAUGUGGGCCGUUUACACAGUGGAACCUCGUUUACAUGCUGAUUGAUUUUAGUUCAAUAUGUCUUUAUCUGCAUCUACAACUAUCCCACCUGCGCUGACAGCGGAUCAGCUAACGGUCAUCGUGGCCUCCGUGUCCUGCCUGGUGUUCUUCGUAGUGAUUCUCAUGCUCCUGGUGGUCUUGUACAGGAAAGACCCUUUCUGCUGCAGGGUGUCGAACUACCAGGCCAACCAGCGCUGUACAGAUGCUCCACCCCAGUACAACAGAAGACAGUCUCUAGUGGUGUCUCCCUACAAUGAACAUACUGCUGCCAUGGCCCAUGGAAACAUUGGAUCCCAGCUUCCAGGGAGGCUGUUUAUCAUCGGUAAGCCCAGCAGCUAUCACCUGGAUGGGAUCCUGCCCCGCCUUCCGUCCUACGAGAGCGUCCGUAAGAAGGACCGUCAGAGACAUAUCCACUCUAUGAUAGCCGACCGCUUUGGUAUCAGCCCCACACAGUCUGAAACGGAGCCUCCUCCGACUUACGAGGAGACUCUUCGCCAGUCCAUGAUCAUCUCCUCUGAAGACCCUCAGUCUGUUGAGGCACUUCCCUCGGACCUCCCUCUCUCCACCUGUAACUCCAGCCUUGAACACACAGUGACAGUAGAUGCAGCCAUGUCACCCUACCGCCCUAUUCAGAGCUCGACCCGGGAACCCGUCUCUGUCUAG